UAGGGAAUCUUCGGCAAUGGGGGGAACCCUGACCGAGCAACGCCGCGUGAGUGAAGAAGGUUUUCGGAUCGUAAAGCUCUGUUGUUAAGGAAGAACGAGUGUGAGAAUGGAAAGUUCAUGCUGUGACGGUACUUAACCAGAAAGGGACGGCUAACUACGUGCCAGCAGCCGCGGUAAUACGUAGGUCCCGAGCGUUGUCCGGAUUUAUUGGGCGUAAAGCGAGCGCAGGCGGUUAGAAAAGUCUGAAGUGAUAGGCAGUGGCUCAACCAUUGUAGGCUUUGGAAACUGUUUAACUUGAGUGCAGAAGGGGAGAGUGGAAUUCCAUGUGUAGCGGUGAAAUGCGUAGAUAUAUGGAGGAACACCGGUGGCGAAAGCGGCUCUCUGGUCUGUAACUGACGCUGAGGCUCGAAAGCGUGGGGAGCGAACAGG
rnacentral:rRNA from 1 species